GCGAUAGGGGAACAUCGAGUGAUCCUCAUAUUGGGGGUCUGUCCACCCGUCUAAAAAACGGGUGUUAGCAAGGGCCGGGCAAGACCGGUGCCAGCCGCCGCGGUAAUACCGGCGGCUCGAGUGGUGGCCGAUAUUAUUGAGUCUAAAGGGUCCGUAGCCGGCUUUGCAAGUCUCUCGGGAAAUCCAGCGGCUUAACCGUUGGUCGUCCGGGGGGUACUACAUUGCUUGGGACUGGGAGAGGUAGGAGGUACUCAGGGGGUAGGAGUGAAAUCCUGUAAUCCUUUGGGGACCACCGGUGGCGAAGGCGUCCUACCAGAACAGGUCCGACGGUGAGGGACGAAAGCUAGGGGCACGAACCGGAUUAGAUACCCGGGUAGUCCUAGCCGUAAACGAUGCUCGCUAGGUGUCACAACAGUCGUGAACUGUUGUGGUGCCGUAGGGAAGCCGUGAAGCGAGCCACUUGGGAAGUACGACCGCAAGGUUGAAACUUAAAGGAAUUGGCGGGGGAGCAC
rnacentral:rRNA from 1 species